UUACGGCCAUAUCAUGUUGAAACACCGGUUCUCAUAAGAUCACCAAAGUUAAGCAACGUCGAGCCUGGUCGGUGACCUCUUGCGAAUACCAGAUACUGUA